AGGAGGAGGACGAGCUCGAAGGCUACAACAAGAGCGUCCCCGGCCGCCGGCGCAGCAACAAGUGGAACCGGCGCAACGAGCGGGGCGAGACGCCGCUGCACCGCGCGUGCAUCGAGGGCGACCUGCGGCGGGCGCAGCUGCUGGUGAAGCAGGGACACCCGCUGAACCCGCGCGACUACUGCGGCUGGACGCCGCUGCACGAGGCCUGCAACC